UAAGGGAGGGGGAAAGGAGGGACUUGCGGAAGAAAGACGGUCAGAUUAUCCAAUGGCAAGGCUAGCUUGCUCUCUAAGGCGUGUAAGACAAGGUUGCGUGCGUGGUGUCCGCCCAAAAAGGCCGCCUUCUCAGAUUUAAAAACCAAUGAAAGAUGCAGGAAGUGAAGAUGGGCGGGAACUAUAGAUGAUAGGCUUGCAAAGAAACCAGUUAACCGCCAGGCGGGCUCCCUGAGCAGUAGGGAUAGGGAGAGCUUUUAUAGGAAUGACAGAACAACGACCAACCAGGAUCCUGGACAUGCCUAGGCAAAAUCCUAAUGGGAGGAAAGGAUAGAAGAAAAGAAAAAGUAAGAGUCCUUCAACAAGAAAAUAAAGUCUCAUCGGUCUUCUAAACCUUUAUUUUCUAGCUCUCUGAACAAAAAACCCUAGGUUUUCCACAUCACAAGUUUGUGAUAAGCAGGCUAAGAUCAAUCAGUGCAGUGGUGACUAUAGAAGCUGGAUGGAACAUCUCACACAUUCCUCAGUCUUUUAAGAGCCCUGGAGAGGCAAGAAAUGAAUCCAAAAGAGAACUGAAACAAGCUGGGCGGGCUUCUCUGUUUGGGAAGCCCAGAACUUCUUGUGAGAAAUCAGGACUGGCUGCUGAUGUUCUUUAUGACUAUUAUAAUUAUUUAAAAUGACUCAUUCUGUACCUUU